GGAAGCACCACGCAACCCUAAACUUCGCCGCAUCCAUUCCCCACCUCUCAUUCCCUCAGCCGCCGCACUCUCCAUCGACAUGGUCAUCGCGCUACAAGCAGCACCGCUGCCUCCCAAUGUUGCCGCCCCGGAUCCCCCACCCACGCCGCUGCCACCGCCCUCGCAUCCCCCACCCAUGCCACCGUCUUCGCAUACCCCAUCCACGCCAUCGUCGGAGGUCAACGGCGAAUUUGGAGGCGACCUCCGCGAACCGCCUGGCGAUCUCGCCUCCGUCCACAGCACACAAUCGAUAUUGCGGCAGCAGGUUCGUUCACCAUAGCCGCUGCGCUGGUGGGGUGAGCCUGGCCUUACCUGCCGUUCAAAUCUCGUUGCCUAUGGUGUGCCCCCGCCACCGCGGGCUGUCCUACAGUGGCGAAAUAUGGUACAAGACGGAAUGGAAAGAAAACUCUUGUGCUUGAAGGGAGCGGAAGCGGAUGUUAUUGGGGUCAGCGUCACCGUCAAGAGGGUGCUUUUUUGGCUCACUACUAAAGGAAAAUGGUGAGUUGCUACUAGAGUAAAACUAUCAUAUUUGUUCUUAUUUUUUCCAGAAAAGGAAAAAAUGCUCCAGGUGCAUGGUGAGGAUGGACACCAAGAUUGGCUUCCUCUCGCCAGCAUGCACUAGGGCUUUGAGGAGCAUGAAGUAUUGCUGCCUCAUGUUGCUAUUGCUAGAUUAAUUUUUGUAAGUUCUAUAUUGACUUUUUAUGAUAAAGGGUUACUAUUACAGUGCAAUUAUUGUAGGUGGUUUAGUAUGUUGGCACCUGGUUAGGAUUAACAUAACAUUUAUUGUCCCUAAUACUACAGUACUUGAUCUUUCUAGUGUUAGUUUGGGUUUGCAUACCAUCUAUCCCAUGUUUACAUGAUUGUUAUCUUGAAAAAUAUGGAUUUUUUAUGUGAAGAAGCAUUAGUGCAUUUUAGGACUCGACGAGUUGUGUGGCCUUGGAAAAAAUUGGCCCCCUCGCGUUGGUGUGUUUCUUGCUUUCUUGUGUGUAUUUUUCCAAGACGAAGGUUUGGUGACUGAUCUGAUUGGUAUGUGCAAGCUAUUCUGGAACAUAAAUACUUGUGAGAUGUCGUAAUUGGUUGCUUCUUUUUUUCAGGUUACUGUGUACUACUCUUGCACUCACAAUUUUAGAGACGUGUGUUUUGCAAGCUAAAAGGAUCUAUUGCUAGAAUCGAAGACAUAUUCCCAUGUAUGUAUGUAUGCAUGAUGGAUUGUUGCCCUUUUGGCUGUGAGGUAGUACUGAACUUGUGAGCCUACAAAUGUAUUUGUAUGUAUGUAUGUUGUGAUGUAGUACUAAAUGUAUAUCUAUGUAUGUAUGAUGUGAUGUAGUACUGGACUUGUGAACCUACAAAUGUAUACCUAUGUAUGUAUGCAAACAUGAUGUAUUGUUGAGAUAUAUUAUGAUGAAACUUUAAUUACCCUA